rnacentral:rRNA from 1 species
CCUACGGGUGGCUGCAGUGGGGAAUAUUGGGCAAUGGAGGAAACUCUGACCCAGCAAUGCCGCGUGAAUGAAGAAGGUCCUCGGAUUGGUAAGCUCCUUUGUCAGGGAAGAAGUCAAUGACGGUACCUGAAGAAUAAGCUCCGGCUAACUACGUGCCAGCAGCCGCGGUAAUACGUAGGGAGCAAGCGUUGUUCGGGAUGACUGGGCGUAAAGGGUGCGGGGGGGGUUGUACAAGUUAGGAGUGAAAUACCCAGGGCUUAACUCGGGAGCUGCUUCUAAAACUGUAUGACUUGAGUGCAGUAGAGGUUAGUGGAAUUCCUAGUGUAGCGGUGGAAUGCGUAGAUAUUAGGAGGAACACCAGAGGCGAAGGCGGCUAGCUGGACUGCAACUGACGCUGAGGCACGAAAGUGUGGGGAGCAAACAGGAUUAGAUACCCCAGUAGUC